UACGUAGGGGGCAAGCGUUGUCCGGAUUUAUUGGGCGUAAAGAGCGUGUAGGCGGCUAGGUAGGUCCGUUGUGAAAACUCGAGGCUCAACCUCGAGACGCCGAUGGAAACCAUCUAGCUAGAGUCCGGAAGAGGAGAGUGGAAUUCCUGGUGUAGCGGUGAAAUGCGCAGAUAUCAGGAAGAACACCCGUGGCUAAGGCGGCUCUCUAGUACGGUACUGACGCUGAGACGCGAAAGCGUGGGGAGCGAACGGG
rnacentral:rRNA from 1 species